rnacentral:rRNA from 1 species
AAUCUUUUCAUAACUUAGUGGCGAACGGGUGAGUAACGCGUGAGCAAUCUGCCUCGGAGUGGGGGACAACAGUUGGAAACGACUGCUAAUACCGCAUAAUGUGUCGGGAGGGCAUCCUUCUGAUACCAAAGCUUUAUGUGCUCUGAGAUGAGCUCGCGUCUGAUUAGAUAGUUGGUGGGGUAACGGCCUACCAAGUCGACGAUCAGUAGCCGGACUGAGAGGUUGAACGGCCACAUUGGGACUGAGAUACGGCCCAGACUCC